rnacentral:rRNA from 1 species
UACAGAGGUCCCAAGCGUUGUUCGGAUUCACUGGGCGUAAAGGGUGCGUAGGUGGUUGGGUAAGUCUGAUGUGAAAUCUCCGAGCUUAACUCGGAAAUGGCAUUGGAUACUAUUCGGCUAGAGGGUUUGAGGGGGGACUGGAAUACUUGGUGUAGCAGUGAAAUGCGUAGAUAUCAAGUGGAACACCAGUGGCGAAGGCGAGUCCCUGGAAAACUCCUGACACUGAGGCACGAAAGCUAGGGGAGCAAACAGG